GAUGAACGCUGGCGGCGUGCCUAAUACAUGCAAGUAGAACGCUGAAGGAGGAGCUUGCUCUUCUGGAUGAGUUGCGAACGGGUGAGUAACGCGUAGGUAACCUGCCUGUUAGCGGGGGAUAACUAUUGGAAACGAUAGCUAAUACCGCAUGACAACAGUUAUUGCAUGAUAACUGUUUAAAAGGGGCAACUGCUCCACUACCAGAUGGACCUGCGUUGUAUUAGCUAGUUGGUGAGGUAACGGCUCACCAAGGCGACGAUACAUAGCCGACCUGAGAGGGUGAUCGGCCACACUGGGACUGAGGCACGGCCCAGACUCCUACGGGAGGGAGCAGUAGGGAAUCUUCGGCAAUGGACGGAAGUCUGAACGAGCAAAGCCGGGGGAGUGAAGAAGGGUCUCGGAUCGGAAAGAUCUGUUGUAAGAGAAGAAAGAGAGUGAGAGUGGAAAGUUCACACUGUGACGGUAUCUUACCAGAAAGGGACGGCUAACUACGUG
rnacentral:rRNA from 1 species